rnacentral:rRNA from 1 species
AACGCGAAGAACCUUACCUGGAUUUGACAUCUUCUGACAAUCCUAGAGAUAGGACUUCUGUAGCAAUACAGCAGAAAGACAGGUGCUGCAUGGCUGUCGUCAGCUCGUGUGGUGACAUGUUGGGUUAAGUCCCGCAACGAGCGCAACCCUUGUCCUUAGUUGCCAGCAUUCAGUUGGGCUCUCUAAGGAGACUGCCGUGGUUAACACGGAGGAAGGUGGGGAUGACGUCAAGUCCUCAUGGCCUUUAUAUCCAGGGCGACACACGUGAUACAAUGGACGGUACAAAGGGACGCCAAGUGGCAAACACGGAGCUAAUCUCAAAAAGCCGUUCUCAGUUCGGAUUGGAGUCUGCAACUCGACUCCAUGAAGUUGGAAUCGCUAGUAAUCGCGGAUCAGCACGCCGCGGUGAAUACGUUCCCGGGCCUUGUACACACCGACAUA